UACGUAGGGCGCAAGCGUUGUCCGGAAUUAUUGGGCGUAAAGAGCUCGUAGGCGGCUCGUCGCGUCUGCCGUGAAAGCCCAUGGCUUAACUGUGGGUCUGCGGUGGAUACGGGCAGGCUGGAGGCUGGUAGGGGCAAGCGGAAUUCCUGGUGUAGCGGUGAAAUGCGCAGAUAUCAGGAGGAACACCGGUGGCGAAGGCGGCUUGCUGGGCCAGGUCUGACGCUGAGGAGCGAAAGCGUGGGGAGCGAACAGG
rnacentral:rRNA from 1 species